AUUGAACGCUGGCGGCAGGCCUAACACAUGCAAGUCGAGCGGAAGAAGGGUGCUUGCUCCUGGUUUCAGCGGCGGACGGGUGAGUAAAGCAUAGGAAUCUGCUUGGUUGUGGGGGAUAAUGUCUGGAAACGGGUGCUACUACUGCCUACGUCCUGCGGGAGCAAGUGGGGGAGCUUCGGACCUCAUGCUCUCAGAUGAGCGUAGGCCGGAUUAGCUAGCUGGUGGGGUGAAGGCCUACUAAGGAGACCAUCCGCAACUGGUCUGAUAGGAGGGUCAGUCGCACGGGAACGGAAACACGGUCCAGACGCCUACGGUAGGCAGCAGUGGGGAAUAGGAGACAGUGGUCGAAAACCUGGUCCAGCCAGGCCGCGUGUGUGGAGAAGGUCUUCGGAUUGUAAAGAACGUUAAGUUGGGAGAAAGGGCAUUAAGUUGAGACCUUGCGGUUGUGACGGUACCAACAGAAGAAGCACCGGCUAACUUCGUG
rnacentral:rRNA from 1 species